CGUAGGUGCAAGCGUUAAUCGGAAUUACUGGCGUAAGCGUGCGCAGGCGGUUAUAUAAGACAGAUGUGAAUCCCCGGGCUCAACCUGGGAACUGCAUUUGUGACUGUAUAGCUAGAGUACGGUAGAGGGGAUUGGAAUUCCGCGUGUAGCAGUGAAAUGCGUAGAUAUGCGGAGGAACACCGAUGGCGAAGGCAAUCCCCUGGACCUGUACUGACGCUCAUGCACGAAAGCGUGGGAGCAAACAGGAUU
rnacentral:rRNA from 1 species